rnacentral:rRNA from 1 species
CCUACGGGUGGCAGCAGUAGGUAAUCUUUCACAAUGGGCGAAAGCCUGAUGGAGCAACGCCGCGUGCAGGAUUAAGGCCUUCGGGUUGUAAACUGCUUUUAUAAGCGAGAAAUAUGAUGGUAACUUAUGAAUAAGGAUCGGCUAACUACGUGCCAGCAGCCGCGGUCAUACGUAGGAUCCGAGCAUUAUCCGGAGUAACUGGGUGUAAAGAGUUGCGUAGGUGGGCUAAUAAGUAGCUAGUGAAAUCUGGUGGCUCAACCAUUCAGACUAUUAGCUAAACUGUUAAGCUCGAGACCGUUAGGGGUAAAUGGAAUUUCUAGUGUAGGAGUGAAAUCCGUAGAUAUUAGAAGGAACACCAAUAGCGUAGGCAGGUUGCUGGGACGGUUCUGACACUAAGGCACGAAAGCGUAGGGAGCAAACGGGAUUAGAUACCCCUGUAGUC